rnacentral:lncRNA from 1 species
GCUAGGCCAUUGCUUACUCCCUUUACUAUCAAAGAAAAACAGUGACUUACUUGACGUUUGAGACGAAAGCUUCAUCAUUGCAUUUAGAGCAAACAACAUCACUAGUAUAUGUAGUAUUUUUUCACUUUUUGUAACUGUACUGUCACAGAUUAAAGCACUACCCAUCGCACCUUACACCAUCACUAGCAUUUAGAGCAACAUAUCUUUGUCUUGAUUGGUCAAUAUAUAUUUGGCACAUCCACACAAUCAAAAUAUCAAUUACUAGCUAGUAUAUAUACGCCACUCUGGGAUAAGUGUUGUAGAGAAGUCACAAGUAAAGAUGUAGAUGGACCAAUUGUUACAGUGUACGCAGAGGUUGAUGCAUGGAUAUGGUCUGAUUUGUUGGAAUAGUAGGCAUUGGGAAAGAGCUAGCUAGUGGAUGGCUUCCCUAAUGUAGUUGCUUGCAUGCAUGCGUGAGAUCAAGUGGCACCUGUUGGGGAUAUUACCUGUUAAUAACCUGCCCUAGUUGGGCCGGAUCACCAAAUCAGGCGAUUCACCUAAACAGUGAUUUGGGCCUUGGCCUGGCCGGAUCAAGGUCAUAUGGCGGUUUAUGAUUUCUGGANNNNNNNNNNGGACGGCUAUUUAGAGACCACACGGGUCACGGUUUAUAGAAAGGAAAGUAUCCUUGUAAACCCUAAGGGUUCGACCUGUAUAUAAAGGCGAGUCCCAGAGAAGGAGACGGCAGGUUAGAAAUCAUCGAGUGCUAGGUUUGGCGAGUUACACCCUCCUUGUAAUCGAAGCCACAUCAAUACAAACCAACGCAGGACGUAGGCCUUUACCUCAUCACGAGGGGCCGAACCUGGGUAAACCGCCGUGUCUCUCCCGCUUAACCCCUUUGAGUCGCCACCAAGGUGCGAUGGCUCCAGUACUAAGUCCUUUCACGAGGACAUCUGCCGUGACAAAACCACGACAGCAUCCCUGACCGGCUGUGGAAUCAAAUUCGAGUGAUGCAACCGGCAGACGAUGGAGCAAUGCAAAAUAUUGGUCGCAGCCCUUCCAGGUAAAGUACUGGAGCUGAAUAUGCCCGCUGAUAUAGGAUUCCUAAGAUACGCGUCAACGUGUGGUUGAGUGUGUGUGGUUUGAAAUCGGGUUUUGUGAGAGGGCUCACAUUGGCGAAAACACACACGAAUUAAAAUUCCCAUCCCUUAAAAGUGCAUUUAGGAGCUGUGGCAAGAGGCCUUGCUACUUCGCUACCGGGAUGAGUCCUCGUCCCGUGCGCCUCCUCCUCCCCGCACCACCCGCCAGCGUCGCGAUUAACUCUGUUUGAACUGUGAACACACAUUUCUUAUCUAAAAUUUCAGGAAGGGUUGGAAUAUGACGCUUCUCAGUGUGUACUGGCCCGAAAUGGCAGACCGGGUGUGAUAUGGAGCGGUUUGUAGAUUUGUUUUGCGGGAUUCUUCGGUUGGUUACCGAAUAUUUUCUCUGCCAGUUUGUUGUCACCCAAGGGAUUUUUCUGCCCGUUCAAGAUUUGUGUUGUACAUUUGUAUGGCAUUGGAAGUGCAUAUGGGAAGUGUCGAAAACUCGAAACCUCGCUUGGAACUAGAUUAGAUGCAACAUGCUCUCAAUUUUUAUAUCUGGUGCUCCGUAUGGUUUGCUGUGCUACUAUAUAUCUAGAAUCUUGACAAUGCUCUCGUGUUAUUAGCAUCGCUGCUCCAUCGGAAAACUAGAGUUAAGCGUUGAGCUUUCUUUUCACAUCUAUUCUCUCCGAUGGACAUCAUGACAACAUUUAGCUUUUGAGUGGCGUGCAAUUUUGAUCCAGAACUAGGGGAUACAACUUGACUGAAGGAAGGGUGACAUGGCUGCUCGCGGUACAGAAAAAAAAAACAGCUAGUAGAUUUCAACUACUCCCUCCGUUUUUAAAUACUCCUAUAACUCUUUUCUGAGAUUUCACUACCGACUACAUAUAAUUUAUAACGAAUGAAUCUAUACUCUAAAUUAUGUAUAUGUGCAUUCGUAUGUAGUCCGUAGUGAAAUCUCUUAAAAGACUUAUAUUUAAAAACGGAGGAAGUAUAUAGGAAUACAUGAUACACACUGUUCACUUGUUUACCCUCCAAGAUCCCUAUAAAGAAACAGGGAGCAGCAAGUAAUUUGGCGUUCUCUCGCGAACUCAACCUCAGUGGUCAGCAUGAGGUCGUGUAGUGGAGUAAUAGACCCUGAUUGUCAGUCGUCUCAUGAAGUGAUGGUACCGCAUUGGGUCCAACUCUGUUGUGUGUCCGUUGUCCCUAUUUUCACUGUCUUUUUGUGUCGCUCGGAUCUGGUAAUGGUUACCGGGGAGCAAGAAGAUGAAAGGCCGGCGGUACGAGACCAUGGUGUCUCUCCGGGCCUUCUAAGGGCAGGUGCAGCGAGAAAUUGCUUAAGAGCAUCUACAAUAUGGAUCCUCAUAGGACGUGUCCGUAGACACUAACCGAUCACGUCUUAAAUAAUACAUUUAAUAACUGGACACCUCAAACCUCAUAUUUCAAAUUCAUACAAAUCAUGCAACUAUUACGUCGAUGUACUACACAUGUUGUCCUACUACUCCAUCACUGCAAAUAUGUCAUCGGACUAUCAAAAUUUGGCAUCUCUGGCUAUGAUGGAGAUCAGCCACAGUUGCCUUUGCCCUUCCCGGGGCCCUCGUUGCCCUUCUCGCUAAAGUACCGGUUAAAGAUGCAGUACGGAUUGACCCAGAUCUGCUUGUCACCGGAGCUAUCCUUGCCGUUGCUCAACUCCUGCUCCUUCGAUGGCAGUCCGACCAUUUUACGGACCAUCUGAUUUUGCUCGUGGGGUGAGGGUGCGCGUGUUACUCCACUGCUGUUUCUUCAAAAUGCGGGCACGGAUGGCUUCCUCCUCUACGGCUGCCCAUGCCACCGCAUCAACUGCCUCCGCCGCUGCCAUCUCCUCCGUGAGACAGGCCUCGAUGACCCUUAUCCUCUCCUUCCCACGACGGGCAGCUCGUUCCCCGUGGGACUCGAAAUCUGUCGGACCGGUGAUGGGGAAGGAGAGAUUUUCCGCCCGACGGGACCUCGAUGAUCCUGCCCAAGAGGAACCGAGCGCACGUUGAGCGGAUGCUAUAGAGUUGUGGUGGAUAGAUCCUGCCGUCGACCGGGCUUGUCCUCGCAGGAGUGGUGGUGUGCAAUGCGGACCGCCAUUGCCCCCUCCUAUUCGCAGGGACAACCCACAUUCGAUGGAUCUGGACUGGUCGGAGUCAGAUCCGUUGUCCUCCAUGCCGGAGAAGGUCGGAGAUCGCCGGAGGUGAGCUAGCAUGGCGGAUGGGAGGGAAGGGGAGUGGAGUGAAGUGUUAGGAUUUGGCUCGGCAAGCGGAUGAGGACGAAUAUAUGUGGGAUCGAUGCGGACCAGUUGGGGCCAGGCGGACGUGCCCGGACGACCCAUAUCCGCCCCAUAUUUGGGCUGGAUAGGAGGGAUGUCGGUCAACCUUGGCGUUUGAAGCCGGUUUGAGAGGCCCGGCUGAAUCAAAAUUUCAUGACCGGUCAGUGACCGAGCGGCAUGUCCGGACGUUUAAGGGGGGAGGGUAUGAGGGGUCCGACUAUGAAUGAUCUAAGAGAGAAUAAAAAGUGACGUGGCUACGAGUUGCAACAUGAAUGAUGAAGUGGCCGGAGGUGGAUCACCGACCGGGAUGAGGGAGAACGGUGGCCGUUACCGUGUGAAUGUGGGGAGAGAGUAAAGAAGAGACGAUGUUGCUAUUGCGAGGAAGGAAUGUCCCGCAAUUCAAGAAGGGAUUUUUUUGGACAGGAAGGACCCCAACUUGAUUAAACAUAGGAAAAACGUUUCAGAUAAUUUCACCAGUCAAAAGCUGAUGUGACUUUGCCCAGUCAGCAGUUAAAACCGGCCAAUGCGGUCAAAACCAAGUGGCUACUGUGUAGGAUAAUGAGCUCACCUCUCUGAUUUCUGUUAACAAAAACCACCAAGUCUUCACUUACAUGAUGAAUUGAAAGAAAGCAAAAACACACACACAAACGGUGCAUGAUCCACAGAGAAGGAGGGGGGGNNNNNNNNNNNNNNNNNNNNNNNNNNNNNNNNNNNNNNNNNNNNNNNNNNNNNNNNNNNNNNNNNNNNNNNNNNNNNNNNNNNNNNNNNNNNNNNNNNNNAUCUCAUUCGUACCCUACACAUCUACUGUCAGGCUUAUACCCACGACAGCUGGCGCCCACCUUGGGGCAGGCGUCUAAGCGACUUCCGGCGAGUUUGCGACUACUUCAUUUCGUCAUGUCGUCCGGUGGAGGUUCGAGCAUGGGUCACCAGAUCUUCUUCGGUGCUCUCUCCUUCAUCGUCGAUGAUUCGGCGUGGCUUCGGGAUGCGCCCCUCGACGUCGAGGCGCUUCCCAGUCGUGGGGCUACGCACUUCCGUGCCGGCGCCCGCGGCAUUCUUCUUCUCCAACAAUCGACUCCGGUGUCGACCUGCACCGCCGCCACGCGCCGCAACAAGCGAUCUCGCCGUCCGCGGCUCCAGCGUUGGGUACAACACGCCCAGGCGCGCNNNNNNNNNNCGGGGCUACGCACUUCUGUGCCGGCGCCCACGGCAUUCUUCUUCUCCAACAAUCGACUCCGGUGUCGACCUGCACUGCCGCCACGCGCCGCAGCAAGCGGUCUCGCCGUCCGCGGCUCCAGCGUUGGGUACAACACGCCCAGGCGCGCCAGAACGCAUCUUCACAAGUGGCAGUUCUUGAGUCCGUUGUGGUUGCCCCGCCGUCCCAGCACUCGGACUCAGUUCCGACUGAGUUUCCUUCUGAGUAUGCGGGUCGCGGGCCCGCAACAGAAGUACACAUGGCCAACUCCCAUGAAGAUCCCCGUCAGGCUGGCCGGAACGAGCACGAGAUCGGCGAAGCGUCCGGCGCACGUCGUCCACCUCGCCAUUCUGCUAGCCGGCACACUCGGCGGAGCAACGUAGAGCUGUUCCGCACACCCCUCCUCAACUUGGCUGCAGCUGCCAAGAUAGCCGAUUCCCUCCAGCCGACUGAUUCAGAGGCUGGUAGAGGGAUCGNNNNNNNNNNCGAGUAUGCGGGUCGCGGGCCCGCAACAGAAGUACACAUGGCGAACUCCCAUGAAGAUCCCCGUCAGGCUGGCCAGAACGAGCACGAGAUCGGCGAAGCGUCUGGCGCACGUCGUCCACCUCGCCGUUCUGCUAGUCGGCACACUCGGCGGAGCAACGUAGAGCUGUUCCGCGCACCCCUCCUCAACUUGGCUGCAGCUGCCAAGGUAGCCGAUUCCCUCCAGCCGACUGAUUCAGAGGCUGGUAGAGGGAUCGAGAAGAUCCGAACCCUGUUGCACACGGCGCAGCAGCAGAAUUCGGCGGUCUCCCAGUCGCACAACCGGAUCUAUAAUAGUUGCGUCCACGCGAAUACACAUCGGUCAGUUCACAGCCCUGGUUCCCAUCAGCACCACAGGGGAGGCAGUCGUUCCAUGAUUCAUGAAGAUCGCCGCCGCUCACGCACCCCUCCGCGGGGUGGGCCCUAUGGGUCCCGACAUNNNNNNNNNNCCGUCCACGCGAAUACACAUCGGUCGGUUCACAGCCCUGGUUCCCAUCAGCGCCACAGGGGAGGCAGCCGUUCCAUGAUUCAUGAAGAUCGUCGCCGCUCACGCACCCCUCCGCGGGGUGGGCCCUAUGGGUCCCGACAUCAUGAUGAUCGGCGUUCAGUCGGCGACACUUACGACCCAAGACCCGACGCAAGAUGACAUAUCGCCCAGCGAAGAGUCGACACAGGUCGAGCCCACUGCGAUGGUCGCGAUAUCGACCGUCCGAGUGGAAGCAGGGCCACCGUGUCUGGUCCCGAGUGUUUCAGUCGAGCCAUCCGUUCGGCUGACAUCCCUCCCAACUUCUGAUUGGCGACGGGAAUUAGCAAGUUCACAGGAGAGUCCAAGCCAGAAACGUGGCUGGAUGACUACCGAGUGGCAGUCCAGACCGGAGGAGGGGACGACCAUGUCGCCAUGAAGCACCUCCCUCUGAUGCUCGACGGCUCGGCGCGAGCGUGGUAAACCAGUUGGCCCCCUCAAGCAUCUACAGUUGGGCAGAUCUGCCCCGAGUGUUCAUCAGAACCUUCGAAGGGACGUGCAAGCGCCCUGUUGGCCUUGUGGAGCUCCAGCACUGCGUCCAGAAGCAGAAUGAGCCCCUGCGUGACUUCAUCCAGCGCUGGACAACUCUCUAUCACACGGUGGAGAACGUCACCGAGCAUCAAGCAGUCUGCGCCUUCAAGGCAGGCGUGCGGUACAGGGAUCUGUACCUGAAGUUCGGCCGAACAGGCGACAUCUCCAUGAGCAAGAUGAUGGAGAUAGCAACACGCUAUGCAAAUGGUGAAGAAGAGGACCGCAUCCGAAGCGGCAAGCACAAAACAGUCGCUGAUGGCGAUGGGGGCAACACUCGGAAGCAGAAGCAGAAAGCUCCGACCGCUCCGCAAGCGGAGGCUGCAGCAGUAACCAAUGCCAAGUUCAAGGGUAAAGGGAAGGCUCAGUUCACCCCCNNNNNNNNNNAAAGCACAAGCAGAAAGCUCCGACCGCUCCGCAAGCGGAGGCUGUAGCCGUAACCAAUGCCAAGUUCAAGGGUAAAGGGAAGGCUCAGUUCACCCCCAAGAAGAAGCAGUUCAAUAACCCCAUCCUGGACCAGCCAUGUCCGGUUCAUACGAAGAUGGAUGAAGAAGGCAACCCCAUAUAUGCGAAGCAUACCACUUGACAGUGUCGCCUCCUGAUCCAGGGGUUCAGCGAAGGGCAACCGAGUGAGAAGGACCAUGAACAGGAUGAGGAGGAUAAGGAGGAUCCGUUCCCCCAAGUCCAUGCGACCCUGAUGAUCUUUGCUGACGUCGAGAGCAAGAGCCGACUGAAGCUGGUGAACAGAGAGGUGAACAUGGCCACCCCUACCAACCCCAAGUUCCUCAAAUGGUCUCAGACUGCGAUCACCUUCGACCAGUCAGAUCAUCCGGCACAUGUACCCACCCCGGGGAGACAGGCCCUGGUCAUCGACCCGGUGGUAGAAGGAGUCCGACUGCGCAAAGUCCUCAUGGAUGGCGGCAGCGACUUGAACAUCAUGUACGCCGACACCCUCAAGGGGAUGGGCAUCCCGAUGUCCAAACUCAGCGAGAGCAGCAUGCAGUUCCACGGAGUCGUCCCUGGACGGAAGGCCAAAUCACUCGGCCAGAUCGCGUUGGACGUCGUUUUCGGCUCCGACAAGAACUUCCGCAAGGAAAAGCUGACGUUCGAAGUGGUUGACUUCCAGAGCGCUUAUCACGCUGAAGAUGCCAGGCCCGAAAGGGGUGAUCACCAUCACAGGCAAUCGGCAGCGGGCUGAAGAGUGUCUGCAGCAGAGAUCAAGAAUCGCCGACCAGCAGAUGGCCGUCCUCGAGCUAGACGAGUACAAGAAAACAGUCGACCCCGCCGACCUGAUGCGCUCGAAGAAGCCGGCUUCAGAGUCUGCAUUUCAGUCGGCGGGAGAGACGAAGAAGGUCAGCAUCCACCCGACGGACGCCANNNNNNNNNNAAUUCUGGGUCGCCCAGCGUAUGCGCACUUCAUGGCCCGUCCAUGUUACGUGUAACUGAAGCUGAAGAUGCCAGGCCCAAAAGGUGUGAUCACCAUCACAGGCAAUCGGCAGCGGGCUGAAGAGUGUCUGCAGCAGGGAUCAAGAAUCGCCGACCAGCAGAUGGCCGUCCUCGAGCUGGACGAGUACAAGAAAACAGUCGACCCUGCCGACCUGAUGCGCUCGAAGAAGCCGGCUUCAGAGUCUGCAUUUUAGUCGGCGGGAGAGACGAAGAAGGUCAGCAUCCACCCGACGGACGCCACUGCUGCCCCGACGAACAUCUCCACCACCCUCGAUCCUAAAUAGGAAGCCGAGCUCACCCAAUUCCUCCGUGAUAACUGGGACAUCUUCGCAUGGAAACCCUCUGACAUGCCAGGUGUACCCAGGGAGUUGGCUGAGCACCGACUGCACGUGGAUUCCACGGCUCGGCCUGUCCGAGAGCGCCUGCGCCGGUCCGCCGCGCACAAGAGGAAGGCAAUCGGGGAAGAGGUGGCCAAGCUGCUGGCAGCCAACUUCAUUCGCGAGGUUCACCACUCCGAGUGGCUCGCCAAUGUUGUCAUGGUGCCCAAGAAGGACAAGUCGCUCUGAAUGUGCAUCGACUUCAAGCAUCUCAAUAAGGUCUACCCGAAAGACCAUUUUCCGCUACCCCGCAUAGAUCAAAUUGUCGAUUCGACUGCGGGCUGCGAGCGUCUGUCAUUUCUCGAUGCCUACUCGGGCUAUCAUCAGAUCCGUCUGUAUGGUCCCGAUGAGUUAAAAACAGCCUUCAUCACCCCAUUCGGGUGCUUCUCCUACAUCACUAUGCCAUUCGGUCUCAAGAAUGUAGGAGCUACCUUUAUGCGCAUGAUCGAAAAAUGUCUCCUUGAUCAGAUCGGUCGGAAUGUGGAGGCAUAUAUGGAUGAUAUCGUAGUCAAGUCACGCAAAGGUUCCGACCUGCUGAUUGACUUGGCAGAAACAUUCGCCAACCUUCGUAGGUUCGAUAUCAAGCUCAACCCCGCCAAAUGUUCAUUCGGCGUUCCCAGCGGAAAGUUACUCGGUUUCUUCAUUUCCGAACGAGGGAUCGAUGUCAACCCCGAAAAGAUCGGGACCAUCGUCCGAAUGGAGAGGCCAGUCAGAGUACACGAUGUACAACCGCUCACAGGUUGCCUAGCGGCUUUGAGCAGGUUCAUCAGUCGACUCGGUGAAAAAGCACUUCCUCUGUACCGACUCAUGAAGAAAUCAGAUACUUUCGAGUGGACAGAUAAAGCCCAAGUCGCAUUCGACGACCUCAAAGUCCUACUUUCCACCCAGCCGGUUCUUACUGCUCCACUCAGUAAAGAGCCCCUUCUUCUGUAUAUCGCGACUACAAAUCAAGUCGUCAGUACUGUUCUUACAGUCGAACGAGAUGAAGAAGGCAAAGCAUACAAAGUUCAGCGGCCAGUGUACUACGUCUCCGAAGUCCUGACUCCUUCCAAGCAGAGGUAUCCCCACUAUCAAAAACUUAUCGACGGGAUUUACAUGACUACGAAGAAGGUGGCCCAUUAUUUCCAAGACCACUCGGUGUCUGUCGUUUUUGAUGCUCCAUUGUCGGAAAUUCUCCACAAUCGAGACGCGUCAGGCCGAGUGGCGAAGUGGGCGAUGGAGAUGUUGUACUGUGAUAUCAAGUUCGAGGCCAAGAAAGCUAUUAAGUCUCAAGCUCUGGCUGACUUCAUAGCAGAAUGUGUAGAACAACAGCAACCGACCCACAUCUGCUCGGCCCAUUGGACAAUGUUCUUCGAUGGGUCCAAGAUGUUGAAUGGCUCCGGCGCUGGCGUUGUGAUCAUAUCACCAAAAGGCAACAAGCUUAAGUACGUGCUACAGAUACACUUCGAUUCCUCCAACAACGAGGCAGAGUAUGAAGCUCUCCUCUACGGGUUGCGUAUGUCCAUCUCACUCGGCGUCCGUCGCCUGAUGGUGUACGGCGAUUCGGAUUUGGUGGUCAAUCAAGUAAUGAAAGAGUGGGACGUCAGAAACCCCACCAUGACUACAUAUUGCAAUGCAGUGAGGAAGCUUGAGAAGAAGUUUGAAGGUCUAGAACUUCACCAUGUUCCAAGACUGAAGAACCAAGUAGCUGAUGAGUUAGCAAAACUCGGAACCACUCGGAGACCAGUCCCGAGUGACGUCUGCCUCGAGCACCUCCACAUCCCCUCAGUCAAAGAAGAUCCUUUCACAGAGGAACCAGUACAACCCAAGAGCACAACAGAUCCGACUGAAGUCGACGUAACUGCUGUGGUUGAUCUGAUCAUGGAGAUUUUGGUUGUCAUUCUUGAUUGGACUGUGCCGAUCAUUGCAUAUAUCCUGAGGCAGGAACUAUCCAAAGACGAGGUCCAGGCCAGGCAGAUAGUCCGCAGGUCGAAGUCAUUCANNNNNNNNNNUGUACUUGGUGUGGUUGAUCUGGUCAUGGAGAUUCUGGCUGUCAUUCCCGAUUGGACUGUGCCGAUCAUUGCAUAUAUCCUGAGGCAGGAACUACCCGAAGACGAGGUCCAGGCCAGGCAGAUAGUCCGCAGGUCGAAGUCAUUCACUGUCAUUGAUGGCCAAUUGUACAAGGAAAGUAUCUCAGACGUUCUUCAACGAUGCAUCUCCCCAGAGGAGGGGCAGCUGAUUCUAGAGGAUAUUCACUCGGGGACCUGCGGUCAUCACGCUUCUUCGAGAGCAAUCGUCGCCAAGGCAUUCAGGGCUGGCUUCUUUUGGCUGCAGGCUAACGAGAUGGAUAAGGAUAUGGUUGAUCGAUGUGAGGGCUGCCAGUUCUACUCCAACAUGUCCCACAAGCCAACGUCUGCGUUGAAGACGAUCCCUCUGGUGUGGCCGUUUGCAGUGUGGGGAUUAGAUACAGUCGGCCCNNNNNNNNNNCUAAGGAUAUGGUUGAUCGAUGUGAGGGCUGCCAGUUCUACUCCAACAAGUCCCACAAGUCAAUGUCUGCGUUGAAGACGACCCCUCUGGUGUGGCCGUUUGCAGUGUGGGGAUUAGAUACAGUCGGCCCAUUCAAGACAGGCCAACGUGGAUACACACAUCUGUUGGUGGCAGUCGACAAGUUCACGAAAUGGAUCGAAGCGAAGCCCAUCAAGAAGCUCGACGCCUCAACAGCCGUCAAGUUUGUCAGGGACAUCAUCUUCAGAUUCGGUGUAGCUCAUAGUAUAAUCACGGACAACGGGACAAACUUUGACUCGGACAGAUUCAAAGGUUUCUGUACAAGCCAAGGCAUCCGAGUGGAUUUUGCUUCNNNNNNNNNNGAGAUUCGGUGUACCUCACAGUAUAAUCACGGACAACGGGACAAACUUUGACUCGGACAAAUUCAAAGGUUUCUGUACAAGCCAAGGCAUCCGAGUGGAUUUUGCUUCCGUAGCACAUCCUCAGUCCAAUGGACAAGCAGAGCGGGCAAACAGACUUAUUUUGCAAGGUUUGAAGCCCCGACUCCUGCGAGAGAUAGGACAUGCUGCUGGCGCUUGGGUUACCGAGCUACCUUCAGUGCUUUGGGGACUUCGCACAACCCCGAACAGGUCUACAGGGCGAUCACCGUUCUUCCUCGUUUAUGGAGCAGAAGCGGUCCUUCCGAGUGACUUGCUUCCCAAUGCGCCACAAGUCGAACUCUUCUCCGAAGCCGAAGCAGAACAAGCAAGGCAAGACGGAGUGGAUCUUCUGGAGGAGGAGCGCGAGAUGGCAUUAACUCGCUCGACCAUUUAUCAACAAAAUUUGCGGCAUUUUCACGCACGCCACGUCAGAAGUCGCACGUUCCAAGCAGGCGACCUGAUGCUCCGAGUGGAUCAGCAAAGACCUCACAAGUUGGCUCCGGCCUGGGAAGGACCCUUCAUUAUCUCCAACGUGCUGAACAACGGAGCAUACAGACUCUACAACAUCAAGAGGGAGACAGACGAGCCGCGUGCAUGGAACGAAGAUCUCCUGAAGCGCUUCUACACGUGACCGUCAACUGAAGCAAUGUAAAGAACAAGUAUUGGUGAAAUAAUACAAAGCAGAUUGAGUUUUUUGCAGGUUCAAAGUUCUUCCGUGGUCACAGACUCCGGUCUCAAAAAAAAAAGAAGCUUAGCAGCGAUCCAGAAUCGCCUAAGUAUUAACCUUCUCCGAGUGUGCACCUCACGUNNNNNNNNNNCGGUCACAGACUCCGGUCUCAAAAAAAAAGAAGCUUAGCUGCAAUCCAGAAUCGCCUAAGUAUUAACCUUCUCCGAGUGUGCACCUCACGUCACACUCGGGGGCUUAGCUGCGAUCCAGCAUCGCCUAAGUAUUNNNNNNNNNNNNNNNNNNNNNNNNNNNNNNNNNNNNNNNNNNNNNNNNNNNNNNNNNNNNNNNNNNNNNNNNNNNNNNNNNNNNNNNNNNNNNNNNNNNNGGGGGUGAAAUGAUGAUAGCAUGCCAACUUUCAACAUUUUCAGAGUUCGUUUGUAGUGCUUUUCAAUUUCAGGGUCAACUAGCUAAAAAAAAUAAGUAAAUGCACGAAGAAUACCAAAUGAAGUCAGAAAUUGUUGAAAUUUUGUGAUGUGCCUUUGAAUGGUGCAUUUUGAACACACAAAAAGUAUGGAGUUCAAAUAAGUUCAAAAAAAUGAAAUCCCUUUGUAAGAGAUGAGUUCUCGUUCGAAACGCUGAUACUUCGAGAAAGAAUUUUAGUAAACAUAGUUUCUAAUUGAAAAUAACAAAAUAGUUAAUAUUUUGGAUAGUCAAAAUAAUUACUUUUCAAAAUAGAAAAUAGUUUUGAAUUAUGUAUUCAAUUUCAAACACUUUUCAUUAUCAUAGUUUUGUCAAAUUCUAAAAUAUGCAAAAGGAAUUUUAAUAAAACAUAGUUUUGAAUUGAAAAUAGAAAAAAAUUGAAACUAUAUGAGAAUUUGUAAAGAAAAUUAAACCUAAAUUCAAAGUGACCUCACUUUGAAUUCAGGUUUAAUUUUCUCCACAAUUUCAAAUAUAGUUUGAAUUUUUUAAUUUACAGUCAGUUUAGGCCCGUAAGCCUGCUUUAGAGAGGAGCUCGAUGGAGUAGCUGCGACGGGGCUUAUAAACAAGUGUUAGUCCCCCUCGCUGGGCGAGGUGGGACUAAACUUAUCGUGCAGCCGAGGAGGGGCUUUAGUCCCGGUGCGUGGCUCCAACCGGGACUAAAGACCCCCUUUAGUCCCGGUUGGAGCUCCGCACCGGGACUAAAGGCCCCUGCUUCCCGCCUUCUGGUCUGCCCAAAAAGAGGCCUUUAGUCCUGGUGCGUGGCUCCACCUGGGACUAAAUGGGGUCUUUAGUCCCGGAUCGAGCCACGAACCGGGACUAAAGAUCCACCUAUACAAGCGGGAGUUAGAAAAAUUCCAACCCAAAUCGUUCGUUUCUCUUCUUCCUCCUCUCGUUCUCCUGCCCGGCGCGGCACACCGACGACCUCGACGACGUCGUCAGGCUGCCAGCCGUCCUCCUCGCCGCCGCCUGCCGUCCUCCUCGCCUUCGCCGUCGUCCUCCUCGCCGCGACGCCCUCCUCGCCGCGCGCCGUCGUCCUCCUCGCUGCGCGCCGUCGACACCUCCGGCCGGUAAGCCCCCCGCCCCCUCCUCCCCAACACUCCGGCCAGUNNNNNNNNNNNNNNNNNNNNNNNNNNNNNNNNNNNNNNNNNNNNNNNNNNNNNNNNNNNNNNNNNNNNNNNNNNNNNNNNNNNNNNNNNNNNNNNNNNNNGGUUCCGGUACAGGGAUGGAGUAGUGGGGAUUGAAUGCGUACGUUACAGGUAACGUAUGCUCUAAAUGCUAAUAAAUGCACCCGGAAACGUACGGCCGUUUCCCUCUAGAGAGGUUACGAUGUAUCGAGUGUAGCUGGUCGGUUAGCUUGGUAUCCUCCGAAUGCUAGUCUCCGACUGGAUGAUUGAGGACCUGUUACCGACUGGAUGAUGGGGACUCCUUAAUUCAGUCGGGACUGACUAAGGGCAUUGUCCUUUGUGAGGAGUAGUCCUUGGGUAGGACCUACGUGGCAGGCCUAUGACCCUAUCCUAGGACUAUGACCCCAUCAUUAGUCCCCGAAUGGAUUGGGGUUGAAACGNNNNNNNNNNCUGAGUGUAGCCGGUCGGUUAGCUUGGUAUCCUCUGAAUGCUAGUCUCCGACUGGAUGAUUAAGGACCUGUUACCGACUGGAUGAUGGGGACUCCUUAAUUCAGUCAGGACUGACUAAGGGCCUUGUCCUUUGUGAGGGGUGGUCCUUGGGUAGGACCUACGUGGCAGGCCUAUGACCCUACCCUAGGACUAUGACCCCAUCAGAGCCUUUAGUCCUGGUUCGUGUCCCAAACCGAGACUAAAGGGCUACGCAGUGGGCAGCCCGCAUGUGCGCCACCUUUAGUCCCGGUUUGUGUCUCAAACCGGGACUAAAGUCCUCUGCCUAUAUAUAGCACAGCCCCCCUCUCCCCUCUUCCUUGCAUUUUUCUUGGAUGGAAGAGUGUGGGUGUGUGCUAGCUCUCCAUUUUUUUGGAUGCACUGGAGGUGUUUGUUGAAAUGUGUGUUAGAGCGAUGCCGCUUCAGUUCACCGAACACAACUACGAUAUGAGAUGCCCGAGCCACGCUUAAACCUCUUCCUCUUUAUUUAUACUUAUUCUAAAAGGUUAGCAACUAUAUUUCCUCGUUUAGACCGUGCGGUACUAAUUUUUAGGAUCGUGAUUGUAUUUGAUAUACUUUCGUAUAACGCAGAUGAGCCAUCCAUGGAUGUACGGUGAUCGACGCACAACCGCUUACAGAGAAGGCGUGCAUUCUUUUCGAGAUGCAGCCGAUGCGAACAAGCAUGGUGGUGGCUAUAUGUUUUGUCCAUGUGUUGAAUGUCGGAAUGAGAAGGAUUACACUUCCUCAAGAGUCAUUCAGAGCCACCUGCUUCGGUCCGGUUUUAUGUCGGGCUAUAAUGUUUGGACCACGCACGGAGAAAGAGGGGUUAUGAUGGAAGACGACGAUGAAGAAGAAGAGAACGAUGAUGACAACUGCCGAUCUAUGUUCCCUGAGUAUGCUGAUACCGCAAUGGAAGACAAUGAAGAAGAAGAUCAGGAUGAAGAACGGGAACCAGAUGAGCCCGCUGAUGAUCUUGGUCGGGUCAUUUCUGAUGCACGGCGAGGUUGCGACACAGAAAAGGAGAGGUUGCAGUUCGAGCAGAUGUUACAGGACCACAACAAAUUGUUGUACCCAACUUGUGAAGAUGGCCAGAAGAAGCUGGGUAGCACACUGGAAUUGCUGAAGUAGAAGGCAGAGACCGGUGUGACUGACUCGUCAUUCAAAAAGUUGCUGGUACUAAUGAAGAAGAUGCUUCCAAGAAAGAACGAAUUGCCCGCCAACACGUACGAAGCAAAUAAGCUUGUCUGCCCUCUAGGAUUAGACGUGCAGAAGAUACAUGCAUGCCCUAAUGACUGCAUCCUCUACCGCGGUGAGAAGUACGAGAAUAUGGAUAAAUGCCCGGUAUGCACUGCAUUGCGGUCUAAGAUCAGAAAAGAUGACCCUGGUUAUAUUGAGGGCGAGCCACCCAGGAAGAGGGUUCCUGCCAAGGUGAUGUGGUAUGCUCCUGUAAUACUACGGUUGAAACAUAUGUUCAAAAAUAAAGAUCAUGCGAAGUUGUUGCGAUGGCACAUGGAAGAUCGUAUGAAAGACGAUAAGUUGAGGCACACCGCUGAUGGUCGACAGUGGAGAAAAAUCGAGAGAGAGUUCCCGAGAUUUGCAGCUGACGCAAGGAACUUAUGGUUAGGUCUGAGUACAGAUGGCAUGAAUCCUUUUGGGGAGCAGAGUUGCAGUCACAGCACCUGGCCCGUUACUCUAUGUAUCUACAACCUUCCUCCUUGGUUGUGCAUGAAGCGGAAGUUCAUUAUGAUGCCAGUGCUUAUCCUGUUGGGGAACGUCGCAUGGGAAACAAAAAUUUUCCUACGCGCACGAAGACCUAUCAUGGAGAUGUCCAUCUACGAGAGGGGAUGAGUGAUCUACGUACCCUUGUAGAUCGUACAGCAGAAGCGUUAGUGAACGCGGUUGAUGUAGUGGAACGUCCUCACGUCCCUCGAUCCGCCCCGCGAACAAUCCCGCGAUCAGUCCCACGAUCUANNNNNNNNNNNNNNNNNNNNNNNNNNNNNNNNNNNNNNNNNNNNNNNNNNNNNNNNNNNNNNNNNNNNNNNNNNNNNNNNNNNNNNNNNNNNNNNNNNNNAAUUUCAACAAUUUCUGACUUCAUUUGGUAUUCUUCGUGCAUUUACUUUUUUCUUGAGCUAGUUGACCCUGAAAUUGAAAAGCACUACAAAUGAACUCUGAAAAUGUUGAAAGUUGGCAUGCUAUCAUCAUUUCACCCACAUAGCAUGUGUUAAAAAGUUGAGAGGGCUACGACAAAAACUGGAUGCACUUCGUGUACAAAACGGACAAUCUCUCUCGAAGUAUUAGUGUUUCGAACGAGAACUCAUCUCUUACAAUGGGAUUUCAUUUUUUUGAACUUAUUUGAACUCCAUACUUUUUGUGUGUUCAAAAUGCACCAUUCAAAGGCACAUCACAGAAUUUCAACAAUUGCUGACUUCAUUUGGUAUUCUUCGUGCAUUUACUUUUUUUUUUGAGCUAGUUGACCCUGAAAUUAAAAAGCACUACAAAUGAACUCUGAAAAUGUUGAAAGUUGGCAUGCUAUCAUCAUUUCACCCACAUAGCAUGUGUUAAAAAGUUGAGAGGGCUACGACAAAAACUGGAUGCACGUCGUGUACGAAACAGAUAAUCUCUCUCGAAGUAUCAGCGUUUCGAACGAGAACUCAUCUCUUACANNNNNNNNNNCUUUUUUUGAGCUAGUUGACCCUGAAAUUGAAAAGCAUUACAAAUGAACUCUGAAAAUGUUGAAAGUUGGCACGCUAUCAUCAUUUCACCCACAUAGCAUGUGUUAAAAAGUUGAGAGGGCUACGACAAAAACUGGAUGCAGUUCGUGUACAAAACGGACAAUCUCUCUCGAAGUAUCAGGGUUUUGAACGAGAACUCAUCUCUUAGAAAGGGAUUUCAUUUUUUGAACUUAUUUGAACUCCAUACUUUUUGUGUGUUUAAAAUGCACCAUUCAAAGGCACAUCACAAAAUUUCAACAAUUUCUGAGUUCAUUUGGUAUUCUUCGUGCAUUUACUUAUUUUUUUUGAGCUAUUUGACCCUGAAAUUGAAAAGCACUACAAAUGAACUCUGAAAAUGUUGANNNNNNNNNNAAAAAGUUGAGAAGGCUACGACAAAAACUGGAUGCACUUCGUGUACAAAACGGACAAUCUCUCUCGAAGUAUCAGCGUUUCGAACAAGAACUCAUCUCUUACAAAGGGAUUUCAUUUUUUUGAACUUAUUUGAAAUCCAUAAUUUUUGUGUGUUCAAAAUGCACCAUUCAAAGGCACAUCACAAAACUUUUUGUAUUACAUUAUUGCACCAAUAUUCCUAUCUAUUAUUUUUGUUUUCUUCUGGGUCAUAGCCAUGGAGAAUCUUCAUCAUUCAGUAGGAUGCUUGGGUCAGUUUUCACUUUGAAGGGCGGAAUUUCGUGAAACUUAUUAUAAUCUUCUGACAUGUCUGUCUUGUCAUCUACUCCCACGAUGUUUCUUUUCCCUGAAAGAACUAUGUGGCGUUUUGGCUCAUCGGACGAUAUCUUCUUUUGCUGAUUUCUUUUUCUCGUUUUUGUAGACAUGUCCUUCGCAUAGAAAACCUGAGCGACAUCAUUGGCUAGGACAAAUGGUUCGUCCAUGUACGCAAGAUUGUUGAGAUCCACUGUUGUCAUGUCGUACUUUUGGUCUACAACUACCCAGCCUCCUGUCAGCUUCACCCAUUUGCACCGAAACAAAGGGGUCUUAAAAGUAGGUCCAUAGUCAAGUUCCCAUAUCUCCUCUAUGUACCCGUAAUAUGUUUCCAAACAGUGCCCAUUCUCGUCUGUUGCAUCAAAGCGGACACCACUAUUUUGGUUGGUGCUCUUUUUAUCUUGGGCAACCAUGUAAAAUGUAUUCCCAUUUAUCUCAUACCCUUGGAAAGUACAUAUAGUCGAAGAUGGUGGCCUGGCCAAACAGUACAGCUGAUCUCCAAUGGUGUCAUCAUUCAUGAGAUGUGUCUGCAACCAACUGUCGAAAGUCUUCUCAUGUUCCCCUUUAAUCCAAGAGUCAGCCUUCCCCGGGUUUUCGGAGCGUAGAAUAUUCUUGUGUCUCACGAUAUACGGAGCCACCACGGUGGAAUUGUGUAGAACUGUGUAGUGUGCUUGAGAGAAAGAAUGCCCGUCCAUACAUACUUUUGCUUUCAUUCCUAGUGUGCCUUUUUCUGUCAGCCUACCCUCAUACCGAGAUUCAGGAACACCAAUCGGCUUAAGGUCAGGAAGAAAGUCCACACAAAACUCAAUGACCUCCUCUGUUCCAUAGCCCUUGGAGAUGCUUCCUUCUGGCCUAGCACGGUUACGAACAUAUUUCUUUAAGACUCCCAUGAACCUCUCGAAGGGGAACAUAUUGUGUAGAAACACAGGACCGAGAAUUCUAAUCUCUUCGACUAGGUGAACUAGGAGGUGUGUCAUUAUAUUGAAGAAGGAUGGCGGGAACAACAACUCAAAGCUGACCAGACAUUGGACCACAUCAAUCUGUAACCCUGAUAGACUUUCUCGAUCGAUUACCUUCUGAGAAAUUGCAUUGAGGAAUGCACAUACCUUCACAAUUGCGAGGCGAACAUUUUCCGGUAGAAUUCCCCUCAAUGCAACCAGAAGCAAGUGCGUCAUAAGCACGUGGCAGUCAUGAGACUUUAGGUUUUGGAAUUUUUUGUCUUUCAUAUUUACGAUUCCCUUUAUAUUCGACGAGAAGCCAGUCGGGACCUUGAUACUGAAAAGGACUUCAAAAUAGAUUUCCUUCUCUUCCUUAGUAAGAGCGUAGCUGGCACGCCCUUGAAACUUCCCUGGAUGCAUGCCAUCUCUUCCUUUAUGACGUUCCUGGUCCUCCCGUGCUUCCGGUGUAUCUUUUGACUUCCCAUACAAGCCCAGGAAGCCUAGAAUAUUCACGCAGAGAUUCUUCGUCAGGUGCAUCACGUCGAUUGCCGAGCGGACCUCAUGGACUUCCCAGUAGGGCAGCUCCCAAAAUAUAGAUUUCUUCUUCCACAUGGAUACGCGCUUAUCAGGGCCGUUAGGAACAGGUUGGCUGCCAGGACCCUUUCCAAAGAUUACUUUUAAAUCUUUGACCAUAUCAAAUACUUCAGCACCAGUACGGAUGACAGGCUUCCCCCGGUGUUCUUCCUUGCCAUUGAAAUGCUUGCCUUUUUUCUUUAAGAGAUGCUUGGGCGGAAGAAAACGACGAUUGUACGGGUACACAUUCUUCCUACAUUUGUCCAGAUAUAUACUUUCUAUCUGAUCCAAACAGUGCUGCAUGCAUUGUAUCCCUUGUUUGACUGUCCUGAAAUGUUAAUAAGAGUAGGCCAAUCACUGAUGGUUACGAAAAGCAACACUCGAAGGUCAAAUUCCUCUUGUUUGUGCUCGUCCCACACACGUACACCUGGUUCGGCCCACAGCUGUAAAAGUUCAUCAACUAAUGGCCUUAGGUACACAUCAAUAUCGUUGUCGGGUUGCUUUGGACCUUGGAUAUGUUGGAAAUAUGCCCUAGAGGCAAUAAUAAAUUAGUUAUUAUUAUAUUUCUUUGUUCAUGAUAAUCGUUUAUUAUCCAUGCUAUAAUUGUAUUGAUUGGAAACACAAUACUUGUGUGGAUACAUAGACAAAACACUGUCCCUAGUAAGCCUCUAGUUGACUAGCUCGUUGAUCAAAGAUGGUCAAGGUUUCCUGGCCAUAGGCAAGUGUUGUCACUUGAUAACGGGAUCACAUCAUUANNNNNNNNNNNNNNNNNNNNNNNNNNNNNNNNNNNNNNNNNNNNNNNNNNNNNNNNNNNNNNNNNNNNNNNNNNNNNNNNNNNNNNNNNNNNNNNNNNNNAACCUUCUCCGAGUGUGCACUACACGUCACACUCGGGGGCUUAGCUGCAAUCCAGCAUCGCCUAAGUAUUAGCCUUCUCCGAGUGUGCAUUACACGUCACACUCGGGGGCUUAGCUGCGAUUCAACAUCGCCUAAGUAUUAACCUUCUCCGAGUGUGCACUACACGUCACACUCGGGGGCUUAGCUGCGAUCCAGCAUCGCCUAAGUAUUAACCUUCUCCGAGUGUGCACUACACGUCACACUCGCGGGCUUAGCUGCGAUCCAGCAUCGCCUAAGUACUAACUAUCUCCGAGUGUGUAUUACACGUCACACUCGGGGGCUUAGCUGCGAUCCAGCAUCGCCUAAGUAUUAACUUUCUCCGAGUGUGUGCUACACGUCACACUCGGGGGCUUAGCUGCGAUCCAGCAGCGCCUAAGUAUUAACUUUCUCCGAGUGUGCGCUACACGUCACACUCGGGGGCUUAGCCGCGAUCCAGAAUCGCCGAAGUAUUAACCUUCUCCGAGUGUACACUAAACGUCACACUCGGGAGCUUAGCUGCGGUGAAGAAUCGCCUAAGUAUUAACCAUCUCCGAGUGUACUCUUAACGUCACACUCGGAGACUUAAGGAAUUCCANNNNNNNNNNNNNNNNNNNNNNNNNNNNNNNNNNNNNNNNNNNNNNNNNNNNNNNNNNNNNNNNNNNNNNNNNNNNNNNNNNNNNNNNNNNNNNNNNNNNUGGCCAAAUUUUCUUACAGAUUAACACUCGGCAUAACGAGGAUAAAGUUUUUUCACGCGUCAGCUGGGUCGGCGCCAGGACUGGAGGGCUCCACGAAGGUGUCCAAGUCGAUUCCGUCAGCGAUGCGGGUAGCACUCUCAAGGAACGUCUCCAUGAAGUCUUCGAAUCGAAGCUUCUUCGUGUUGGCGACCUUUAGUGUCUUCAACUUCUCCUCGCGCACCUCCUUGCAAUGGACUCGGACCAGGGACAAAGCAACAUCUGCACCGCAACGAGCUGCAGAUUUCUUCCACGACUGCACUCGGUUGGGAAUCUCCUGCAGUCGGGUCAUCAGGUUCUCGCCGAAUGGAUAUGCGCCCGGAGCAGAUCCCGAUUGGUGUCCUCGCCGAAUGGAACGUUCUCAAGAAUCGACCGCUCCACGUCAGCUGCUUCAGCUUCGGCGCUAAAGCAAAAAAUCUAGGACAAUAGGACAAACAGACAAUAAGUGCCGAGUGUGACGCGCAUAACACAACCACUCGGAGAAAGCAGGACUUACCAGCCAGACGCGUCAUCAUCUGCCGAGCCCAGUCGCUGACAUAUUUCUCCUGUGCCCUGCAUCGUUUGUUCAGCACGUCCAUCUGACCCAUCAGAGCAGUCCUCUGUUUACCCAUCUUCUCCACUUCCUCAGUCAACACCUUGUUCUCUUCCCGAGCCUGCUCCAAUGACUUCUCUCGUCCCUCAAGAGCAUCCUUCAUGCCAAUCGUUGCGAGCAUGGCCGCAUCAAGCUCACCAGCGAGUUGAUUCCUCUCCGCCUUGAGAGUNNNNNNNNNNGCUUCCCGAGCCUGCUCAAAUGACUUCUCUCGUCCCUCAAGAGCAUCCUUCAUGCUAGUCAUUGUGAGCACGGCCGCAUCAAGCUCACCAGCGAGUUGAUUCCUCUCCGCCUUGAGAGUCUCAUAAGCUGAUCCCAUUUCACAGGUUUUCUGCCACCAAACACCAAGAGACAAUCAGAAAAUUCAACAAUAAAAGUCUAAGUUCUUCAGACCCCUGCCGACGCAAGCAGUCGACAGCGGUCUCGAGGACUACACCCAGUGGGUUCACUAAGAGUGACCCCACUGGCAUGCAGCUCAAGUAGGCCUGCCCUAUUGAGAUGCAUGUUAUCACCUACGCCUACGAGGCACAUACUACCCGACCUGAGUACAACUUACUCUUGGAGACUCUUACAGUAAGUGCACUUCGAGUGCUACAACUGCUAGCAGUCGGUCAUAUUAUUUACAGACACGACCAAAGCAAAGACAAUAUGUAUAAAGACAACUGUCGGUGCAAGCACUCGACAGAAGUCUCGGGGACUACACCCACUGGGUUCACUCAGAGUGAACCCAUUGCAAACAACAACUGCUAUUCAAGAACACCCAGUGGGUUACAGGAGAAAAGUAAAUACUUACUAGACCACUUACUCGGAUAUCAUCCCGCAGCUCUAAGCUCCGCUGGUACAAGGCCGCAACGGAGUCGUAGGCCCUCUUAGCUUCUCCAGCCAUCAGCUCCGCCUGCACCUUAGCCCCCUUGGCCGCUCCUACCUGCUCCUCCGGAAGACGCUGGAUGCUGAAUUCAGCAUUCGACGAGCCUGGAAUCGUCGGAGGUUCCUGAGGCAUCCCAAGGCCCGCCCCAAUCGGCUCCUCAUCCACCAGCACUGGUUCAGUCUGUGGCAGCGCCUCAGUCGGCAGCACGUCGGCAGCGAGAGCGGCAGCAGGAGGAGCAGCCUCAAGAACAGGCUCCACAGCAGGGUCGGCUCUCCCUUGGUCGCCCUCGUCCAGGCAAAUCGCCCCUGACAGGCCGAAUGACACGAGGUCUCAGAAAAAGAAAAAGGCAGAACCUAUGGUAGAAUAAAACACUCGAAGUCACUACAACACACCUGGUUGGGACAAGACGAUGUUGUCCGUGUCCAUGGGGUCAUCUUCUUGGCGCGCCGGAGAGGUGGCNNNNNNNNNNNNNNNNNNNNNNNNNNNNNNNNNNNNNNNNNNNNNNNNNNNNNNNNNNNNNNNNNNNNNNNNNNNNNNNNNNNNNNNNNNNNNNNNNNNNCGCUGAGCAGGCGCCGCCGCCUUGCCCUUCUUCUUCCUCGCCUCCAUCUUGUUGGUCUAACCCUUGGUCAUGGAGGCGACGGCGAACCCCCGGGAGGAAGGAGAAGGAAGGAGUGUAGGAGCACUGGAGGCAGCGACGAAGACGGAGCAGGUGAGAGCGAAAGAUUCGGCGAGCGUAACGAAGAAGCCUCGCCGCCGAGAUUUAAAUAGGGUUCCGACUGGGUCACUGGCGGGUGGCCCCGAAACCUUAUCCGCCCGACCGGUCGCGGCGAUAUCAGUGGAGGAGUUGAAGGCGCGAGAAUCGAGGCGUCAGGCGCUACUCGAGCGCACCGGCGUCAUCCCCGCUGGACGCGCGGAAACCGAAAUUUGAAGAUCCCGGAAAAUCCGCCGCUGUCAGUUGACCGGUCGCGUCAAAAGAUGCCGCUGAAGCACUCGGCUUCCGACAGUCUGUUUCACGAGUACUUCCACUCGGAUCAUUGGGCAGAAAAGAUAAAAUGGAUCGAGGCAGGCAACGCCCAAGCCAAAUCUGUUCCAGUCGGAUCCAAACUUCANNNNNNNNNNAAAAUUUGAAGAUCCCGGAAAAUCCGCCGCUGUCAGUUGACCGGUCGCAUCAAAAGAUGCCGCUGAAGCACUCGGCUUCCGACAGUCUGUUUCGCGAGUACUUCCACUCGGAUCGUUGGGCAGAAAAGAUAAAAUGGAUCGGGGCAGGCAACGCCCAAGCCAAAUCUGUUCCAGUCGGAUCCAAACUUCAAGCACCGCUUCGUCGUUUCAACCCCAAUCCAUUCGGGGACUAAUGAUGGGGUCAUAGUCCUUGGGUAGGGUCAUAGGCCUGCCAUGUAGGUCCUACCCAAGGACUACCCCUCACAAAGGACAAGGCCCUUAGUCAGUCCCGACUGAAUUAAGGAGUCCCCAUCAUCCAGUCGGUAACAGGUCCUCAAAAAUCCAGUCGGAGACUAGCAUUCGGAGGAUACCAAGGUAACUGACCGGCUACACUCGGUACAUCGUAACCUCUCUGGAGGGAAAAGGCCGUACGUUUCCGGGUGCAUUUAUUAGCAUUUAGAGCAUACAUUACCUGUAACGUACGCAUUCAAUCCCCACUACUCCACCCCUGUACCGGAACCNNNNNNNNNNNNNNNNNNNNNNNNNNNNNNNNNNNNNNNNNNNNNNNNNNNNNNNNNNNNNNNNNNNNNNNNNNNNNNNNNNNNNNNNNNNNNNNNNNNNAAUAUCCAAUAGCGGGACCUGGAUGCCCAUAUUGGAUCCUACAUAUUCUACGAAGAUCUUAUCGUUUGAACCUCAGUGCCAAGGAUUCAUAUAAUCCCGUAUGUCAUUCCCUUUGUCCUUCGGUAUGUUACUUGCCCGAGAUUCGAUCGUUAGUAUCCGCAUACCUAUUUCAAUCUCGUUUACCGGCAAGUCUCUUUACUCGUUCCGUAAUACAAGAUCCCGCAACUUACAUUAAGUUACAAUGCUUGCAAGGCUUGUGUGUGAUGUUGUAUUACCGAGUGGGCCCCGAGAUACCUCAUCGUCACACGGAGUGACAAAUCCCAGUCUUGAUCCAUACUAACUCAACGAACACCUUCGGAGAUACCUGUAGAGCAUCUUUAUAGUCACCCAGUUACGUUGCGACGUUUGAUACACACAAAGUAUUCCUCCGGUGUUAGUAAGUUAUAUGAUCUCAUGGUCAUAGGAAUAAAUACUUGACACGCAGAAAACAGUAGCAACAAAAUGACACGAUCAACAUGCUACGUCUAUUAGUUUGGGUCUAGUCCAUCACAUGNNNNNNNNNNNNNNNNNNNNNNNNNNNNNNNNNNNNNNNNNNNNNNNNNNNNNNNNNNNNNNNNNNNNNNNNNNNNNNNNNNNNNNNNNNNNNNNNNNNNCCCAGCCCCUCCCCCACCCUCCGCCGUGCGCCAUGUCCGGGGACCGCGUCUCCUUCGGUGACGGCCGCUGGUCCGGCUCCGACAGCGACUCCUCUGCGCGCUCCUACAGCGAGGUAGCCCGCACGCCGCCAGCCGGCCGGUGCGCCGUCCCCGCGUCUACCUCCCGGAGCACCGCCCCCGCGCCCCCUGCCCCUGGCCCUGUGGUGGCGGCGCCGCGGCUUCCGGCUAAGGCCCGCAUAGGCCCCCGCUCCGAGGUACACCGCGUUGCUGGUGGCGACGUGGUGGAUGAAGACGGCUUCCAGCAGCCCCGCCGCAAGAACCGUCCCCGCCCCCGCCGUGCGCCCGAGCCGGAGCCCGCGCUGCAACGCCCGCGCAGCCCCUCCCCCGAGGCAAUCGCUGGGCUCUGCUUCCGCUGCCUAGAUCAUCGCCACCGGGUCCGGGACUGCAAGAGCGACAUCCGCUGCCGGAAGUGCCUCAUCUCCGGCCAUGACUCCCGCGGCUGCGAGAGCUUCCACCGGCGUAUGGGUCGCGCUCCCCCAAGCACUCGCAGUCAGGACGUCCCCGCGGCCGGCCCCGCCCCCGCCACCCCCCCGCCANNNNNNNNNNNNNNNNNNNNNNNNNNNNNNNNNNNNNNNNNNNNNNNNNNNNNNNNNNNNNNNNNNNNNNNNNNNNNNNNNNNNNNNNNNNNNNNNNNNNGUCGUAGCCCUCUCAACUUUUUAACACAUGCUAUGUGGGUGAAAUGAUAAUAGCAUGCCAACUUUCAACAUUUUCACAGUUCAUUUGUAGUGCUUUUCAAUUUCAGGGUCAACUAGCUCAAAAAAAAAGUAAAUGCACGAAGAAUACCAAAUGAAGUCAGAAAUUUUUGAAAUUUUGUGAUGUUACUUUGAAUGGUGCAUUUUGAACACACAAAAAGUAUGGAUUUCAAAUAAGUUCAAAAAAUGAAAUCCCUUUGUAAGAGAUGAGUUCUCGUUCGAAACGCUAAUACUUCGAGAGAGAUUGUCCGUUUUGUACACGAAGUGCAUUCAGUUUUUGUCGUAGCCCUCUCAACUUUUUAACACAUGUUAUGUGGGUGAAAUGAUGAUAGCAUGCCAACUUUCAACAUUUUCAGAGUUCAUUUGUAGUGCUUUUCAAUUUCAGGGUCAACUAGCUCAAAACAAAAUAAGUAAAUGCACGAAGAAUACCAAAUGAAGUCAGAAAUUGUUGNNNNNNNNNNNNNNNNNNNNNNNNNNNNNNNNNNNNNNNNNNNNNNNNNNNNNNNNNNNNNNNNNNNNNNNNNNNNNNNNNNNNNNNNNNNNNNNNNNNNUUUUUAACACAUGCUAUGUGGGUGAAAUGAUGAUAGCGUGCCAACUUUCAACAUUUUCAGAGUUCAUUUGUAAUGCUUUUCAAUUUCAGGGUCAACUAGCUCAAAAAAAGAAAGUAAAUGCACGAAGAAUACCAAAUGAAGUCAGAAAUUGUUGAAAUUUUGUGAUGUGCCUUUGAAUGGUGCAUUUUGAACACACAAAAAGUAUGGAGUUCAAAUAAGUUCAAAAAAUGAAAUCCCUUUCUAAGAGAUGAGUUCUCGUUCAAAACCCUGAUACUUCGAGAGAGAUUGUCCGUUUUGUACACGAACUGCAUCCAGUUUUUGUCGUAGCANNNNNNNNNNNNNNNNNNNNNNNNNNNNNNNNNNNNNNNNNNNNNNNNNNNNNNNNNNNNNNNNNNNNNNNNNNNNNNNNNNNNNNNNNNNNNNNNNNNNNNNNNNNNNNNNNNNNNNNNNNNNNNNNNNNNNNNNNNNNNNNNNNNNNNNNNNNNNNNNNNNNNNCAGGGUCAACUACGUCAAAACGAAAAAAGUAAAUGCACGAAGAAUACCAAAUGAAGUCAGAAAUUGUUGAAAUUUUGUGAUGUGCCUUUGAAUGGUGCAUUUUGAACACACAAAAAGUAUGGAGUUCAAAUAAGUUCAAAAAAAUGAAAUCCCAUUGUAAGAGAUGAGUUCUCGUUCGAAACACUAAUACUUCGAGAGAGAUUGUCCGUUUUGUACACGAAGUGCAUCCAGUUUUUGUCGUAGCCCUCUCAACUUUUUAACACAUGCUAUGGUGGUGAAAUGAUGAUAGCAUGCCAACUUUCAACAUUUUCACAGUUCAUAUGUAGUGCUUUUCAAUUUCGGGGUCAACUAGCUCAAAAAAAAUAAGUAAAUGCACGAAGAAUACCAAAUGAACUCAGAAAUUGUUGAAAUUUUGUGAUGUGCCUUUGAAUGGUGCAUUUUAAACACACAAAAAGUAUGGAGUUCAAAUAAGUUCAAAAAAUGAAAUCCCUUUCUAAGAGAUGAGUUCUCGUUCAAAACCCUGAUACUUCGAGAGAGAUUGUCCGUUUUGUACACGAACUGCAUCCAGUUUUUGUCGUAGCCCUCUCAACUUUUUAACACAUGCUAUGUGGGUGAAAUGAUGAUAGCAUGCCAACUUUCAACAUUUUCAGAGUUCAUUUGUAGUGCUUUUUAAUUUCAGGGUCAACUAGCUCAAAAAAAAAAGUAAAUGCACGAAGAAUACCAAAUGAAGUCAGCAAUUGUUGAAAUUCUGUGAUGUGCCUUUGAAUGGUGCAUUUUGAACACACAAAAAGUAUGGANNNNNNNNNNNNNNNNNNNNNNNNNNNNNNNNNNNNNNNNNNNNNNNNNNNNNNNNNNNNNNNNNNNNNNNNNNNNNNNNNNNNNNNNNNNNNNNNNNNNNNNNNNNNNNNNNNNNNNNNNNNNNNNNNNNNNNNNNNNNNNNNNNNNNNNNNNNNNNNNNNNNNNNNNNNNNNNNNNNNNNNNNNNNNNNNNNNNNNNNNNNNNNNNNNNNNNNNNNNNNNNAUGAUAGCAAGCCAACUUUCAACAUUUUCACAGUUCAUUUGUAGUGCUUUUCAAUUUCAGGGUCAACUAGCUCAAAAAAAAAGUAAAUGCACGAAGAAUACCAAAUGAAGUCAGAAAUUUUUGAAAUUUUGUGAUGUUACUUUGAAUGGUGCAUUUUGNNNNNNNNNNNNNNNNNNNNNNNNNNNNNNNNNNNNNNNNNNNNNNNNNNNNNNNNNNNNNNNNNNNNNNNNNNNNNNNNNNNNNNNNNNNNNNNNNNNNGAAGCUAUCACUGACAGAAUCCUCCAAUCACUGCCGCCAAGCUAUAAAGGCUUUGUGUUGAACUACAACAUGCAAGGGAUGAACAAGUCUCCCGGCGAGUUGUUUGCGAUGCUGAAAGUCGCAGAGUCUGAACUCCGUAAAGAGCAUCAAGUGUUGAUGGUGAGCAAGACCACUAGUUUCAAGAGAAACGGCAAAGGCAAGAAGGGCAAUUCGAAGAAGAGCGGCAAGCCUGUUGCCAAUCCACCGAAGAAACCCAAGGCUGGACCUAAGCCUGAAACAGAGUGCUUCUAUUGCAAGGGUAUGGGUCACUUGAAGCGCAAUUGCCCCAAGUAUCUGGCAGAUAAGAAGGCGGGCAAAGAAAAAUCAGGUAUAUUUGAUAUACAUUUUAUUGAUGUGUACUUAACCGGCUCUCGUAGUAGUGCGUGGGUAUUCGAUACCAGUUUUGUUGCUCACAUUUGCAACUCGAAGCAGGAACUGCGAAAUAGACGAAGGCUGGCGAAAGACGAAGUGACGAUGCGCGUAGGAAACGGUUCCAAGGUUGAUGCAAUCGCCGUCGGCACCGUGUCACUUCAACUACCAUCGGGAUUAGUGAUGAACUUAAAUCAUUGUUAUUUAGUGCCUGCGUUGAGCAUGAACAUUAUAUCUGGAUCUUGUUUAUUGCGAGACGGUUACUCUUUUAAGUCUGAGCAUAAUGGUUGUUCUAUUUCUAUGAGUAACAUCUUUUAUGGUCAUGCACCGAAUGUGAGAGGAUUGUUCAUAUUGAAUCUCGAUAGCGAUACGCAUAUACAUAACAUUGAGACCAAAAGAGUUAGAGUAAACAAUGAUAGCGCCAUAUUUUUGUGGCACUGCUGCUUGGGUCAUAUUGGUGUAAAGCGCAUGAAGAAACUCCAUGCUGAUGGACUUUUGGAGUCACUUGACUUUGAUUCACUUGACACGUGCGAACCAUGCCUCAUGGGCAAGAUGACUAAAACUCCGUUCUCCGGAACAAUGGAGCGUGCAAGUGACUUGUUGGAAAUCAUACAUACCGAUGUGUGUGGUCCGAUGAGCGUGGAGGCACGCGGCGGAUAUCGUUAUUUUCUCACCUUCACUGACGAUUUAAGUAGAUAUGGUUAUGUCUACUUGAUGAAGCACAAGUCUGAAACAUUUGAAAAGUUCAAGCAAUUUCAGAGUGAAGUAGAAAAUCAUCGUAACAAGAAGAUCAAGUUCCUACGGUCUGAUCGUGGGGGUGAAUAUCUGAGUUUCGAGUUUGGUACUCACUUAAGACAAUGUGGAAUUGUUUUGCAGUUAACACCGCCUGGAACACCACAGCGUAAUGGUGUGUCCGAACGUCGUAAUCGUACUUUGUUAGAGAUGGUGCGAUCUAUGAUGUCUCUUACUGAUUUGCCGUUGUCAUUUUGGGGUUAUGCAUUAGAAACAGCUGCAUUCACUUUAAAUAGGGCACCAUCAAAAUCCGUUGAGACGACACCAUACGAACUGUGGUAUGGCAAAAGACCAAAGUUGUCGUUUCUUAAAGUUUGGGGAUGUGAUGCUUAUGUGAAAAAGCUUCAGCCUGAAAAGCUGGAACCCAAAGCGGAAAAGUGCGUCUUCAUAGGUUACCCAAAGGAGACAGUUGGGUACACCUUCUAUCUCAAAUUCGAGGGCAAAGUGUUUGUUGCUAAAAACGGAACUUUUCUCGAGAAGGAGUUUCUCUCGAGAGAAUUGAGUGGGAGGAAGAUAGAACUUGACGAGGUUGUCGAACCUCUUAUCCCUCUGGAUGGUGGCGCAGGGCAAGGGGAAACCUCUGUCAUUGCGACGCCGGUUGAGGAGGAAGUUAAUGAUGAUGAUCAUGAAACUCCAGUUCAAGUUUCUGUUGAACCACGCAGGUCGACGAGAUCACGCGCUGCUCCAGAGUGGUACGGUAAUCCCGUCUUGUCAAUCAUGUUGUUAGACAACAAUAAACCUGCAAAUUAUGAAGAAGCAAUGGUGGGCCCAGAUUCCAACAAAUGGCUAGAAGCCAUGAAAUCCGAGAUAGGAUCCAUGUAUGAGAACAAAGUGUGGACUUUGGAGAUACUACCUGAAGGCCGCAAGGCUAUUCAGAACAAAUGGAUCUUUAAGAAGAAGACGGACGGUGACGGUAAUGUGACCGUUUAUAAAGCUCGACUUGUGGCAAAGGGUUUUUCGCAAGUUCCAGGAGUUGACUACGAUGAGACCUUCUCACCCGUAGCGAUGCUUAAGUCCGUCAGAAUCAUGUUAGCAAUAGCUGCAUUUUUCGAUUAUGAAAUCUGGCAGGUGGAUGUCAAAAUGGCGUUCCUUAACGGUUUCCUUAAGGAAGAGUUGUAUAUGAUGCAACCCGAAGGUUUUGUCGAUCCUAAAAAUGCUGACAAGGUGUGCAAGCUCCAGCGAUCNNNNNNNNNNNNNNNNNNNNNNNNNNNNNNNNNNNNNNNNNNNNNNNNNNNNNNNNNNNNNNNNNNNNNNNNNNNNNNNNNNNNNNNNNNNNNNNNNNNNGCUAAGUCGUUUGAUGGUUUGGGAUCUGGCGGAAAAGAUGUGUUUGACCAAAUCCCAAUGGGGAGGGCAGCCGAUGAAACACUCGCACGAAACUAUAAAGGCAGAAAGAUGAGCGAUGGCAUUCGGAGGAAAAUGGUGAAGUUGGGCCCCGAAGUGAUUCAUGAUGCCCUUGAGGAAAGGAUGCGGGGGCAAAGAAAAACCUCGAUAGACGUGGCUGAGAAGCAAGACGCGCUCCCCCUCCCGGGGCUCCGGCUCGACCUCGUUCUCCGCCGGCAGCCUCCAGGACUUAUGCACGAUCAUUCCGUGCUCCACCAGCUGCAGCAGAUCCCCCUCCGUCAUCGUGGAGGGGAGGAAGUCGCCAUGAAUCCACCCCGCCGGCAGCGGCCGCUGCCGCCGCCGAGCAGGUGCCGCCGCCUUGCCCUUCUUCUUCCUCGCCUCCAUCUUGUUGGUCUGACCCUUGGUCAUGGAGGCGACGGCGAACCCUCGGGAGGAAGGAGAAGGAAGGAGUGUAGGAGCACUGGAGGCAGCGAGGAAGACGGAGCAGGCGAGAGCGAAAUAUUCGGCGAGCGUAACGAAGAAGCCUCGCCGCCGAGAUUUAAAUAGGGUUCCGACUGGGUCACUGGCGGGUGGCCCCGAAACCUUAUCCGCCCGACCGGCCGCGGCGAUAUCAGUGGAGGAGUUGAAGGCGCGAGAAUCGAGGGGGCAAUCAGUGGAGGAGUUGAAGGCGCGAGAAUCGAGGCGUCAGGCGCUACUCGAGCGCACCGGCGUCAUCCCCGCUGGACGCGCGGAAACCGAAAUUUGAAGAUCCCGGAAAAUCCGCCGCUGUCAGUUGACCGGUCGCGUCAAAAGAUGCCGCUGAAGCACUCGGCUUCCGACAGUCUGUUUCACGAGUACUUCCACUCGGAUCAUUGGGCAGAAAAGAUAAAAUGGAUCGAGGCAGGCAACGCCCAAGCCAAAUCUGUUCCAGUCGGAUCCAAACUUCAAGCACCGCUUUGUCGUUUCAACCCCAAUCCAUUCGGGGACUAAUGAUGGGGUCAUAGUCCUUGGGUAGGGUCAUAGGCCUGCCAUGUAGGUCCUACCCAAGGACUACCCCUCACAAAGGACAAGGCCCUUAGUCAGUCCCGACUGAAUUAAGGAGUCCCCAUCAUCCAGUCGGUAACAGGUCCUCAAAAAUCCAGUCGGAGACUAGCAUUCGGAGGAUACCAAGGUAACUGACCGGCUACACUCGGUACAUCGUAACCUCUCUGGAGGGAAAAGGCCGUACGUUUCCGGGUGCAUUUAUUAGCAUUUAGAGCAUACAUUACCUGUAACGUACGCAUUCAAUCCCCACUACUCCACCCCUGUACCGGAACCGUUGUGGAGGGCAGCGCACUCCAUAUAAGCCACCCUCCCCCACUGGUAAAGGGGUUAGCAAAUCAUUGUAUUCCAUAUUCCACUCGACAACAAGCUCCGAGAGCACUGAGACGUAGGGCUGUUACCUCCACCGCAGAGGGGCCUGAACUCAUACAACCUCGCCGUAGCUAGGACUCUGCCCAUCUCAUUCGUACCCUACACAUCUACUGUCAGGCUUAUACCCACGACACUCGAUGUGGAGGCCUAAGAGGGAGAAACAUUCGUCAAAUGAAUGUAUAUGUAUACAAUAUAGAGCUAUCUCCAAUAUUUUUCACAUAUUACAAGUGAUUGUUGAACUUCAUAUGUAUACCUCGCCGGACUUUAUUAUUUCUUCACUGGAUUCUCCACCGGCUUCUCCAUCAGCGGAGCUAUCACCUUCUCCGUCAUUGGACCUAUCUCCUGUCCCAUCGGCUUCAUCUUCGUGUCGGCCGACCUCCAUUCCAUAUCCGUAGGGGUUUAGAUAUGACGACGGAGAUUCAGCUGGUUCAACGUCGGGGCCGUCUUUGAUUAUAUCUUCGAGAAGUUCUUCCUCUUCGAGGUUCCUGAUAUGUGGAUCCAUAGUUCUGCAAAAAACGGACAUUUGAUUAACUAAUAAACUAACAAACUAUAUAAGAGGGGUUGGAAACUUCGAAGUGUCGUUUUAUAUAGGAGGACCUUUAGUCCCGGGUCUUGGCUAGAACCUAAACUCUAAAAUAUGUCUAACGGAUUCUCUUAACCUUUAAGGAUUUAACAAAAUGGCGACAUUCUAGAUGUGUAGAAAAUGAUCCUAUUUUUCCUGAUCUCAUCUACCCUUCUAUAUGUCACAUUAUUCUAUUAGGAACUCCGUUCCAAAACAACUUUAGUCCCGGGUCGUGGCUCCACCCGGGGCUCCUAGAUUUCUGCAUAGUAUUCAAAGUAGGAGUACUUUUCCAAUUUGAGCAUUCAAUAAGCAAAACCAAAUCGUAAAAUAAAGUAGUAUUCAAAUUAGCUUGCAUUCAAUUAUAAGGAAAUGCAUCAUCUCUUUUGUCCGUACAUCGUCGAAUAUUAUCACUAAUACUCCUCGAAUACUAUCAUACAUAUAGCAUCACUGAUACAUCUAGAACCGUAGCGCCCGACGGGUAUCGUCGCGGGCGGUGGGCACCCAAAGAGAAGGAACCAUCACAGGAUCAUAGCUCCAGUGAGAUCCCCGAAGAACCUGCCAGGUAUGCUCGAACCUUCCCUCCAACGCAACCAUGUAGCGACGGACGUGCUCAUCCUCCUCGCUGAUACGGUGACGUACCACCUCCGCGGUGUCCGGAAGCCACGACACUCUCACUGGCCCACGCGACCGCCACCAAAAAAGGAUCGGGUCAACGACGGUCUGGCUCCUCACCAACCUACGCCCCCCGGAAGGUAGCACCUCCCAAUACCAGCCGGGCGGAGCCCAGUCCCGGACAGGGCCUCUCUGAUCAAGCAGUGUCCUCCGCCGAGUCGACGACGAGGAUGCGGGAUAGGCAUCGUAAAAUGAACUAAAAAAAUAAACUAGUUCUAUUAAUUUUCUUGCUAAAAAUAAACUAUUAACACUUAAGCAUAUACAAUAGCAAAAUUAAACUAUUCACACUUAAGCAUAUACAAUAGCAAAAUUAAGCAAUAAUCUAAGAAACACUAUUAACACUUAAGCAUAUACACUAUACAAUAGCAAAAUUAAAUGACAAAAAAAAUAUUUCUUCUUCUUGUAACCAUAAACUAAUUUUUCCUCUUCUUCUAUUUCUCCUCUUCUUCUACUUCUUCUUCUACUUCUACUUCUCGUCUUCUUCUACUACUUCUCCUCUUCUCUUCUUCUACUUCUCCUCUCCUCCUCUUCUAAUUUUUUCUCUUCUUCUACUUCUCCUCUUCUUCUAUUUUUCCUCUUCUUCUCCUCUCCUCCUCUUCUUAUUCUCCUUUUUCUUCUUUUCUUCUACUCCUCUUCUUAUUUUCCUUUUUCCUAAUUCUAAAUAUUACUAACCCUAAUAAUCUAGCACAAACCUAAUAACAAUAGGAAAUAAAUGACAAAAAAAAUAUUUUUCUUCUUUUCUUCCCUUUUUCUUCUCCUUUUUCUUCCUUUCUUCCCUUUUUCUUAUUUUCUUCUCCUUUUUCUUCUUUUCUUCUCCUUUUUCUUCUUUUCUUCUCCUUCCCUUUUUCUUCUUUUCUUCUCCCUUUUCUUCUUUUCUUCUCCUUUUUCUUCCUUUCUUCUCCUUUUUCUUCCUUUCUUCUCCUUUUUCUUCUUUUCUUCUCCUUUUUCUUCUUUUCUUCUCUUCUCCCUUUUCUUCUUUUCUUCUCCUUUUUCUUCCUUUCUUCUCCUUUUUCUUCCUUUCUUCUCCUUUUUCUUCCUUUCUUCUCCUUUUUCUUCCUUUCUUCUCCUUUUUCUUCUUUUCUUCUCCUUUUUCUUCUUUUCUUCUCCUUUUUCUUCUUUUCUUCUACUGGCCGGAGUGUUGGGGAGGAGGGGGCGGGGGGCUUACCGGCCGGAGGUGUCGACGGCGCGCAGCGAGGAGGACGACGGCGCGCGGCGAGGAGGGCGUCGCGGCGAGGAGGACGACGGCGAAGGCGAGGAGGACGGCAGGCGGCGGCGAGGAGGACGGCUGGCAGCCUGACGACGUCGUCGAGGUCGUCGGUGUGCCGCGCCGGGCAGGAGAACGAGAGGAGGAAGAAGAGAAACGAACGAUUUGGGUUGGAAUUUUUCUAACUCCCGCUUGUAUAGGUGGAUCUUUAGUCCCGGUUCGUGGCUCGAUCCGGGACUAAAGACCCCAUUUAGUCCCAGGUGGAGCCACGCACCAGGACUAAAGGCCUCUUUUUGGGCAGACCAGAAGGCGGGAAGCAGGGGCCUUUAGUCCCGGUGCGGAGCUCCAACCGGGACUAAAGGGGGUCUUUAGUCCCNNNNNNNNNNNNNNNNNNNNNNNNNNNNNNNNNNNNNNNNNNNNNNNNNNNNNNNNNNNNNNNNNNNNNNNNNNNNNNNNNNNNNNNNNNNNNNNNNNNNACCUUCUCCGAGUGUGCACUACACGUCACACUCGGGGGCUUAGCUGCAAUCCAGCAUCGCCUAAGUAUUAGCCUUCUCCGAGUGUGCAUUACACGUCACACUCGGGGGCUUAGCUGCGAUUCAACAUCGCCUAAGUAUUAACCUUCUCCGAGUGUGCACUACACGUCACACUCGGGGGGGUAGCUGCGAUCCAGCAUCGCCUAAGUAUUAACCUUCUCCGAGUGUGCACUACACGUCACACUCGCGGGCUUAGCUGCGAUCCAGCAUCGCCUAAGUACUAACUAUCUCCGAGUGUGUAUUACACGUCACACUCGGGGGCUUAGCUGCGAUCCAGCAUCGCCUAAGUACUAACUAUCUCCGAGUGUGUAUUACACGUCACACUCGGGGGCUUAGCUGCGAUCCAGCAUCGCCUAAGUACUAACUAUCUCCGAGUGUGUAUUACACGUCACACUCGGGGGCUUAGCUGCGAUCCAGCAGCGCCUAAGUAUUAACUUUCUCCGAGUGUGUGCUACACAUCACACUCGGGGCCUUAGCCGCGAUCCAGAAUCGCCUAAGUAUUAACCUUCUCCGAGUGUGCACUAAACGUCACACUCAGGAGCUUAGCUGCGGUCAAGAAUCGCCUAAGUACUAACCUUCUCCGAGUGUACUCUUAACGUCACACUCGGAGACUUAAGGAAUUCCACGGACCCUCAAUGAGGCUCACGCAGAUGUCAAAACAACUGACAUGUUCCGAAUGUUUGCCUUUGGCUUCACCAAGAAACGCCAAACAAAAACCCGAAUCAAAAUUGCAAUAGAAGAGCAAAAAUUCGAUUCAAAGCUCUAGCAAAGAUAGUUUACUCGGUGCGGAUCAAGCUUACCCGCACCGAUCUAAGAAUGUGACGGCCAACAGCAGCGGCCAAAGUUUCUUACAGAUUAACACUCGGCAUACCGAGGAUAAAGUUUUUUCACGCGUCAGCUGGGUCGGCACCAGGACUGGAGGGCUCCACGAAGGUGUCCAAGUCGAUUCCGUCGGCGAUGCGGGUAGCACUCUCAAGGAACGUCUCCAUGAAGUCUUCGAAUUGAAGCUUCUUCAUGUUGGCGACCUUCAGUGUCUUCAACUUCUCCUCGCGCACCUCCUUGCAAUGGACUCGGACCAGGGACAGAGCAACAUCUGCACCGCAACGAGCUGCAGAUUUCUUCCACAACUGCACUCGGUUGGGAAUCUCCUGCAGUCGGGUCAUCACGUUCUCCAUCUCCUGCCGCGACUCGUCCUCUGGCCAAAGUUCCUUCUCAAUUCGGCCGACGACCUCUCUCAGUCGACCGAUGAAAGGAUCCACUUUGCCUACGCGGAUAUGCGCCCGGAGCAGAUCCCGAUUGGCGUCCUCGCCGAGUGGAACGUUCUCAAGAAUCGACCGCUCCACGUCAGCUGCUUCAGCUUCGGCGCUAAAGCAAAAAAUCUAGGACAAUAGGACAAACAGACAAUAAGUGCCGAGUGUGACGCGCAUAACACAACCACUCGGAGAAAGCAGGACUUACCAGCCAGACGCGUCAUCAUCUGCCGAGCCCAGUCGCUGACAUAUUUCUCCUGUGCCCUGCAUCGUUUGUUCAGCACGUCCAUCUGACCCAUCAGAGCAGUCCUCUGUUUACCCAUCUUCUCCACUUCCUCAGUCAACACCUUGUUCGCUUCCCGAGCCUGCUCAAAUGACUUCUCUCGUCCCUCAAGAGCAUCCUUCAUGCUAGUCAUUGUGAGCACGGCCGCAUCAAGCUCACCAGCGAGUUGAUUCCUCUCCGCCUUGAGAGUCUCAUAAGCUGAUCCCAUUUCACAGGUUUUCUGCCACCAAACACCAAGAGACAAUCAGAAAAUUCAACAAUAAAAGUCUAAGUUCUUCAGACCCCUGCCGACGCAAGCAGUCGACUGCGGUCUCGAGGACUACACCCAGUGGGUUCACUAAGAGUGACCCCACUGGCAUGCAGCUCAAGCAGGCCUGCCCUAUUGGGAUGCAUGUUAUCACCUACGCCUACGAGGCACAUACUACCCGACCUGAGUACAACUUACUCUCGGAGACUCUUACAGUAAGUGCACUCCGAGUGCCACAACUGCUAGCAGUCGGUCAUAUUAUUUACAGACACGACCAAAGCAAAGACAAUAUGUAUAAAGACAACUGUCGGUGCAAGCACUCGACAGAAGUCUCGGGGACUACACCCACUGGGUUCACUCAGAGUGAACCCAUUGCAAACAACAACUGCUAUUCAAGAACACCCAGUGGGUUACAGGAGAAAAGUAAAUACUUACUAGACCACUUACUCGGAUAUCAUCCCGCAGCUCCAAGCUCCGCUGGUACAAGGCCGCAACGGAGUCGUAGGCCCUCUUAGCUUCUCCAGCCAUCAGCUCCGCCUGCACCUUAGCCCCCUUGGCCGCUCCUACCUGCUCCUCCGGAAGACGCUGGAUGCUGAAUUCAGCAUUCGACGAGCCUGGAAUCGUCGGAGGUUCCUGAGGCAUCCCAAGGCCCGCCCCAAUCGGCUCCUCAUCCACCAGCACUGGUUCAGUCUGUGGCAGCGCCUCAGUCGGCAGCACGUCGGCAGCGAGAGCGGCAGCAGGAGGAGCAGCCUCAAGAACAGGCUCCACAGCAGGGUCGGCUCUCCCUUGGUCGCCCUCGUCCAGGCAAAUCGCCCCUGACAGGCCGAAUGACACGAGGUCUCAGAAAAAGAAAAAGGCAGAACCUAUGGUAGAAUAAAACACUCAAAGUCACUACAACACACCUGGCUGGGACGAGAUGACGUUGUCCGUGUCCAUGGGGUCAUCUUCUUGGCGCGCCGGAGAGGUGGCGGAAGUAGCGACUCUGUCGAGUGAAAUCCAUUCGACCAAUGAACAAGAGUUCACUCGGAUAUGCCGAGGGAACGGCAGGCUCGUGUCGGCGCUUGGUCCGAUGCUCUGUUUGCGGAGGCGGCGAGUCCUGCUCUUCGUCUUCCUCCUCCUCCUCGCUGGACUCUUCCUCCGACUCCCCGCUGUCGGAGACAUAUUCAGCGCUCUCCACGCUGCCCUCCUAGCUGCCUUCCUCCUCCUCAGCCGGGUUCCCGUUCGAGACGGGAGAAAACCAGUUGGUCCACUCCUGCAUAAAAUUCAGUCUGCGACAUCAGACAUCACACAGAGAUUCAAGCAAACGAUAAGAUUAAGACAGUUAGGAGCACUCGACAAGUGUCACUCACCUGAUUCGGAGGAGGAUUAUCCGCGUAGAAGGGCUUCACUCGCCGUGAUCCUUUGGGAUUCUCGCAGGGGCCUGUGAUCUGGAGCACCCACGAGGUCACCCUCUCCUCAGUCACGCCCACAACAUUGGUCCGAGUGGAAUCCUCAGGCCCCGUAUAAUGCCACAUGGCGUGGUCGCGAGCCUGCAGGGGCUGGAUACGCCGACCAAGGAAGACCUCGAGCAAGUCUAUGCCAGUGACCCCCCUCCUGACGACGUCUACGAGCGCACCGACCAGAUGCUGGAUGUCGUUCUUCUCCGCCCUCGUGAGCGCGAGUUGCUUAGGUGGGGCGGGCCGGUCUAAACUAAAAGGAGGCAGCCCAGUCGACGCAUUCGGACAGGCGAUAUCCUGGCAGUAGAACCACGUCGACUGCCAGUUCCUGACCGACUCACUUAACUGAAGGGCAGGAUAACUACUCCGACUCUUUUUCUGGAAACCUAAGCCCCCGCAGAGCUGGAGGAGAUGCGUCUUAUCAUCCGACUGGCUAAGUCGUUUGAUGGUUUGGGAUCUGGCGGAAAAGAUUUGUUUGAACAAACCCCAAUGGGGAGGGCAGCCGAUGAAACACUCGCACAAAACUAUAAAGGCAGAAAGAUGGGCGAUGGCAUUCGGAGGAAAAUGGUGAAGUUGGGCCCCGAAGUGAUUCAUGAUGCCCUUGAGGAAAGGAUGCGGGGGCAAAGAAAAACCUCGAUAGACGUGGCUGAGAAGCAAGACGCGCUCCCCCUCCCGGGGCUCCGGCUCGACCUCGUUCUCCGCCGGCAGCCUCCAGGACUUAUGCACGAUCAUUCCGUGCUCCACCAGCUGCAGCAGAUCCCCCUCCGUCACCGUGGAGGGGAGGAAGUCGCCUUGAAUCCACCCCGCCGGCAGCGGCCGCUGCCGCCGCUGAGCAGGCGCCGCCGCCUUGCCCUUCUUCUUCCUCGCCUCCAUCUUGUUGGUCUAACCCUUGGUCAUGGAGGCGACGGCGAACCCCCGGGAGGAAGGAGAAGGAAGGAGUGUAGGAGCACUGGAGGCAGCGACGAAGACGGAGCAGGUGAGAGCGAAAGAUUCGGCGAGCGUAACGAAGAAGCCUCGCCGCCGAGAUUUAAAUAGGGUUCCGACUGGGUCACUGGCGGGUGGCCCCGAAACCUUAUCCGCCCGACCGGCCGCGGCGAUAUCAGUGGAGGAGUUGAAGGCGCGAGAAUCGAGGGGGCACGAUAUCAGUGGAGGAGUUGAAGGCGCGAGAAUCGAGGCGUCAGGCGCUACUCGAGCGCACCGGCGUCAUCCCCGCUGGACGCGCGGAAACCAAAAUUUGAAGAUCCCGGAAAAUCCGCCGCUGUCAGUUGACCGGUCGCAUCAAAAGAUGCCGCUGAAGCACUCGGCUUCCGACAGUCUGUUUCGCGAGUACUUCCACUCGGAUCGUUGGGCAGAAAAGAUAAAAUGGAUCGGGGCAGGCAACGCCCAAGCCAAAUCUGUUCCAGUCGGAUCCAAACUUCAAGCACCGCUUCGUCGUUUCAACCCCAAUCCAUUCGGGGACUAAUGAUGGGGUCAUAGUCCUUGGGUAGGGUCAUAGGCCUGCCAUGUAGGUCCUACCCAAGGACUACCCCUCACAAAGGACAAGGCCCUUAGUCAGUCCCGACUGAAUUAAGGAGUCCCCAUCAUCCAGUCGGUAACAGGUCCUCAAAAAUCCAGUCGGAGACUAGCAUUCGGAGGAUACCAAGCUAACCGACCAGCUACACUCGAUACAUCGUAACCUCUCUAGAGGGAAACGGCCGUACGUUUCCGGGUGCAUUUAUUAGCAUUUAGAGCAUACGUUACCUGUAACGUACGCAUUCAAUCCCCACUACUCCAUCCCUGUACCGGAACCGUUGUGGAGGGCAGCGCACUCCAUAUAAGCCACCCUCCCCCACUGGUAAAGGGGUUAGCAAAUCAUUGUAUUCCAUAUUCCACUCGACAACAAGCUCCGAGAGCACUGAGACGUAGGGCUGUUACCUCCACCGCAGAGGGGCCUGAACUCAUACAACCUCGCCGUAGCUAGGACUCUGCCCAUCUCAUUCGUACCCUACACAUCUACUGUCAGGCUUAUACCCACGACAGGCUCCUUACGGGCCGGGACUAAAGCCUCGAGGGAGGCAUUGAGAAUUGGAACGACGUGGCCGGGCCUUUAGUCCCGGCCAAAGGCCCGUUUUCCACUAGUGUACGUUGAUGUGGAGAGCUAUUGGGAGAUGGCAUGUUUGAAUGAGAAGGCACAAAGAAUAAUUAGUGGUGGGACCGACGGAUCAUACAUUAUCAUUUACUCACUUUUUAGCUUCCAAAAACUUCAUAUAUUGCGAGACGGAGGGAGUACAUGGCUAUUGAAUAGUAUUUGUAGUAUUUUUUCACCUUUUGUACGAGGCUGUACUCUCACAGAUUAAAACACUACCCAUCGCACCUUACACCAUCACUAGCAUUUAGAGCAACCAUAUUUUUGUCUUGAUCGGUCAAUAUAUACUUGGCACAUCCACGCUAUGAAAGUAUCAACUAGCUACUAUAUAUGUACGCGCGUCACUCUGUGAUUAUUGUAUUGUAGAGAAGUCACAAGUCAAGAUGUAGAUGGACCAAUUAUUACAGUGUAUGCAGAGAUUGAUGCAUGGAUGUGGUCUGAUUUGUUGGAAUAGUAGGCAUUGGGAAAGAGCUAGCAACUGGAUAAGUUCCCGAGUGUUGUUUCUUGCAUGCAUGCGUGAGAGCAAGUGUCAUCGAUGGCCGGCUGUGAAAUCAUACUCGAGUGAUGCCACCGCCGGCAGAAGAUGGAGCAAUGCAAGAUCCUGGUCGCAGCCCUUCCCAUUGAGGUCCCACACUUGAAGACAGUACUGUGCUUAAGAUACACCGGCGUGCUGUUACAUAUGCCGGCUGAUAUAGGAUUCCUAUGAUACGUGUCAAUGUUCGAUUGAGAGUGUGGUUUGAAAACGGGUUUUGCGAGAAGGAUCAUAUUAUGGAAAACACACACACAAAUUAAAAUUUAUAACCCUUAAAUAAGAGGGGUUUCACGGUGAUUGGCAUAGUACUCCGAGUACUACCCCUUCGAUUUAU